UACGGAGGGAGCUAGCGUUGUUCGGAAUUACUGGGCGUAAAGCGUGCGUAGGCGGCUAUUCAAGUCAGAGGUGAAAGCCUGGAGCUCAACUCCAGAACUGCCUUUGAAACUAGAUAGCUAGAAUCUUGGAGAGGUGAGUGGAAUUCCGAGUGUAGAGGUGAAAUUCGUAGAUAUUCGGAAGAACACCAGUGGCGAAGGCGACUCACUGGACAAGUAUUGACGCUGAGGUACGAAAGCGUGGGGAGCAAACAGGAUUAGAAACCCUAGUAGUCC
rnacentral:rRNA from 1 species